UACGUAGGGACCGAGCGUUGUCCGGAAUCAUUGGGCGUAAAGAGCGUGUAGGCGGCCCCUUAAGUCCUGCGUGAAAUCCUGCGGCUCAACCGCAGACGGUCGUGGGAAACUGGAGGGCUAGAGUGCGGGAGAGGAGAGUGGAAUUCCCGGUGUAGCGGUGAAAUGCGCAGAUAUCGGGAAGAACACCCGUGGCGAAGGCGGCUCUCUGGAACGCAACUGACGCUGAGACGCGAAAGCGUGGGGAGCAAACAGGG
rnacentral:rRNA from 1 species